CAGUAGCCGCGGUAAAACGUAGGGUGCAAGCGUUAAUCGGAAUUACUGGGCGUAAAGCGUGCGCAGGCGGUUCCGCAAGUCAGAUGUGAAAUCCCCGGGCUCAACCUGGGAACUGCAUUUGAAACUACGGGGCUAGAGUGUGUCAGAGGGGGGUGAAAUUCCACGUGUAGCAGUGAAAUGCGUAGAGAUGUGGAGGAACACCAAUGGCGAAGGCAGCCCCCUGGGAUGACACUGACGCUCAUGCACGAAAGCGUGGGGAGCAAACAGGAUUAGAUACCCCCGUAGUCCCUGUCUCUUAUAC
rnacentral:rRNA from 1 species